rnacentral:rRNA from 1 species
AUUGAACGCUGGCGGCAGGCUUAACACAUGCAAGUCGAGCGGGGGAAGGUAGCUUGCUACCGGACCUAGCGGCGGACGGGUGAGUAAUGCUUAGGAAUCUGCCUAUUAGUGGGGGACAACAUCUCGAAAGGGAUGCUAAUACCGCAUACGUCAUACGGGAGAAAGCAGGGGAUCUUCGGACCUUGCGCUAAUAGAUGAGCCUAAGUCGGAUUAGCUAGUGGGUGGGGUAAAGGCCUACCAAGGCAACGAUCUGUAGCGGGUCUGAGAGGAUGAUCCGCCACACUGGGACUGAGACACGGCCCAGACUCCUACGGGAGGCAGCAGUGGGGAAUAUUGGACAAUGGGGGGAACCCUGAUCCAGCCAUGCCGCGUGUGUGAAGAAGGCCUUAUGGUUGUAAAGCACUUUAAGCGAGGAGGAGGCUACUCUAGUUAAUACCUAGGGAUAGUGGACGUUACUCGCAGAAUAGCACCGGCUAACUCUGUGCCAGCAGCCGCCGUAA